GUUUGAUCCUGGCUCAGGAUGAACGCUUAGCGGCAGGCUUAACACAUGCAAGUCGAGGGGUAACGAUAGUGCUUGCACUAGGCGACGACCGGCGCACGGGUGAGUAACACGUAUGCAACCUACCUUUAACAGGGAGAUAGCCCAGAGAAAUUUGGAUUAAUAUCCCAUAAUAUUGUAAAAUGGCAUCAUUUAACAAUAAAAGCUCCGGCGGUUAAAGAUGGGCAUGCGGGACAUUAGCUAGUUGGUAAGGUAACAGCUUACCAAGGCGACGAUGUCUAUGGGGUCUUAAAGGAUGGUCCCACACACUGGUACUGAGACACGGACCAGACUCCUACGGGAGGCAGCAGUGAGGAAUAUUGGUCAAUGGGCGCAAGCCUGAACCAGCCAUGCCGCGUGAAGGAAGACGGCUCUACGAGUUGUAAACUUCUUUUAUAUAGGAAUAAUUGCAUCUACGUGUAGAUGUUUGAAGGUACUAUAUGAAUAAGCAUCGGCUAACUCCGUGCCAGCAGCCGCGGUAAUACGGAGGAUGCAAGCGUUAUCCGGAUUUAUUAGGUUUAAAGGGUGCGUAGGCGGGAUAAUAAGUCAGUGGUGAAAGCCUGCAGCUUAACUGUAGAAUUGCCAUUGAAACUGUUGUUCUUGAGUAUAGAUGAGGUGGGCGGAAUGUGUAAUGUAGCGGUGAAAUGCUUAGAUAUUACACAGAACACCGAUUGCGAAGGCAGCUCACUAAACUAUAACUGACGCUAAUGCACGAAAGCGUGGGGAGCGAACAGGAUUAGAUACCCUGGUAGUCCACGCCGUAAACGAUGAUUACUCGUUGUUCGCGAUACACCGCGAGUGACUGAGCGAAAGCAUUAAGUAAUCCACCUGGGGAGUACGUUGGCAACAAUGAAACUCAAAGGAAUUGACGGGGGCCCGCACAAGCGGAGGAACAUGUGGUUUAAUUCGAUGAUACGCGAGGAACCUUACCUGGGCUUAAAUGUAGCGUGACUUUUCUAGAAAUAGAUUUUCUCUUCGGAGCAAGUUACAAGGUGCUGCAUGGCUGUCGUCAGCUCGUGCCGUGAGGUGUCGGGUUAAGUCCCAUAACGAGCGCAACCCCUAUCGUUAGUUGCUAGCAGGUAAUGCUGAGGACUCUAGCGAGACUGCCACCGUAAGGUGAGAGGAAGGUGGGGAUGACGUCAAGUCAGCACGGCCCUUAUGUCCAGGGCUACACACGUGCUACAAUGGCAGGUACAGAGCGACGCGAGACCGCGAGGUGGAGCAAAUCGCAGAAAGCCUGUCCCAGUACAGAUUGAAGUCUGAAACUCGACUUCAUGAAGGUGGAAUCGCUAGUAAUCGCGCAUCAGCAUGGCGCGGUGAAUACGUUCCCGGGCCUUGUACACACCGCCCGUCACACCACCCGAGUUGGGGGUACCCGAAGUCACUAGUCUAACCUGCAAAGGAGGACG
rnacentral:rRNA from 1 species